UUCGUCCCCACGCAUGCCCUCCGUCCUGCAUCGUCGUGCCUUUCGACGGUCUCGUUUCCGAAUGAUUUCGCACCUCCCGAUCGGACGUUGGGAAGUUACGGGGACUACGUUGCAGCGUGCGUCUUAUGCCUAGGCCAAUCGACCGACACGCCGCGCGGUUUCGUCCCCACGCCUGCCCUCCGUCCUGCAUCGUUGUGCCUCACGACGGUCUCGAUUCGGGACAAUUUCGUACCAACCGAUCGGACAUUGGGAAGUUGCGAGCACUACGUUGCAACAUGCGUCUUAUGCCUAGGCCAAUCGAUCGACACGUCGCGCGGUUUCUUGCCCCCGCGCAUGCCCUCCGUCCGGAUUGUUCCUCCCACUCUCGUCGGGUCUUUACUCCAUUUCUGGACCGAAAUAGGCAAUUGCCGGGAAAUCCGAGGCCAUCUCUCGACGCGCAACGCGAUUUCGUGCCCACGCAUGCGUUCCGUUCGGGUGCU
rnacentral:lncRNA from 1 species